UACGGGAGGCAGCAGUGGGGAAUAUUGCACAAUGGGCGCAAGCCUGAUGCAGCCAUGCCGCGUGUAUGAAAAAGGCCUUCGGGUUGUAAAGUACUUUCAGUCGUGAGGAAGGUGUUAAGGUUAAUAACCUUAGCAAUUGACGUUAGCGACAGAAGAAGCACCGGCUAACUCCGUGCCAGCAGCCGCGGUAAUACGGAGGGUGCGAGCGUUAAUCGGAAUUACUGGGCGUAAAGGGCACGCAGGCGGUUAAUUAAGUUGGAUGUGAAUCCCCGGGCUUAACCUGGGAAUGGCAUUCAAGACUGGUUAGCUAGAGUCUUGUAGAGGGGGUAGAAUUCCAUGUGUAGCGGUGAAAUGCGUAGAGAUGUGGAGGAAUACCGGUGGCGAAGGCGGCCCCGUGGACAAAGACUGACGCUCAUGUGCGAAAGCGUGGGGAGCAAACGAGGGAUUAGAUACC
rnacentral:rRNA from 1 species